rnacentral:rRNA from 1 species
GACGAAGGGGGCUAGCGUUGUUCGGAAUCACUGGGCGUAAAGGGCGCGUAGGCGGCUUUAUAAGUCGGGGGUGAAAGCCUGUGGCUCAACCACAGAAUUGCCUUCGAUACUGUAGAGCUUGAGACCGGAAGAGGUAAGUGGAACUGCGAGUGUAGAGGUGAAAUUCGUAGAUAUUCGCAAGAACACCAGUGGCGAAGGCGGCUUUACUGGUCCGGUUUCUGACGCUGAGGAGCGAAAAGCCAGGGGGAGCAAACGGGG